AAUGAACCUAGAGAGAAAGCACCAGUAAAAGCUAAACUGGGAUCCCACCCCAUAGGACCUACAGUGGCAGGCUGUAGCACUAACUAGCAGUGGUUGCCCUCAGUCUGAGCCUCCUCUUCCUCCUUGUCCAACUCAAAAACAGACAACCCAAAGAGCUCUAAGACUGGAGUUGCCACUGCUUGAUGGGGAGAAAAUAUUAUUACUCUUCAGACUUCCUGUAAAUGUGAAAAGUGAACCAGAAAAUAAGCAUUUUGAUUUAGAUGUGAAGCAGACAUGGAAGACUCCUCCCCAGUUAUCUCAAAGUGUGUCUCCAAGUGGAUGUUGUCCUCCUGAGUGAAGGAUGCCCACGUGAUGGAUCAACUCCCUCUUUAAAGGCAGAAAUCAGGGAUAAUCUGAGUAAACCAUCAUGCAUAGUGGAGCAAGUAAACAACAUGCUGCAAGUGCACGCCCACACUUAAUGGUCUUUAACUGUUUGAGUAAGCAAGUUCCCAGAAAUAGCUGCAAAUACCACCUUCAUCAAGAAAGGGUGCUUGAGUUUAUCUUAUGAGAAGUUGCCACCUCUUAGGAAGACUUCUGGAAAAUCUUGAAUCUUCACAGCUGCAUCUUUCCCUGGUAAAUUAAGCAGAACCAGCAGAGGUAUUAUCUCAACACAAACCGUAAUAGAAAAUCAACAGGGUCACCCUCCCUGGAACAAAUCUACAGUAGAGCCACACAGGAAACAAUGUGAACUUCAGCUAAAAUUGACUGAGAGAAACACACGGGGCUUUACAGACUCUUACCCCAUUACAGCAGCACCAGCACAACUCCUGAGGCUUUGUGGAGAAUUUGAGAAGAGCAUUGCUCUGUUUUGCAUUGAAAGUCCUCAUUCGUUCACUUGCUAUCAGUCAGACACGUGUGUGUCAUCCUUUCUGCUUUGCAGAACCCCAUCUUCUUUGAUUGAUCAAUUACUUGUGUUCCCGUAAUCAAAAUCUCAUACGGAAAUACUGUAAAGGUUAAUUUAUCAUUGCCUUAAUUUAAGAGAGCAAGACUUAAUUUAGGAGAGCAAAAGCUAUUUGAAAGCUUUUCCUGUCCCAGUGUUGGUCACUGAGCCAUGAGGCAGGUUAUGUUUGCCUCCUCAGACCAGGCCUCUACCCCUGGGGUAGUGAAGUCCACCCCCAAGUCCCUUCCUAGGGGACCUCACUGUCAGCAAGCCCAAUUUCUGCUUCUUCAGCAAGAUACGCUAAGAUGUACGGCUGGGAAUCCUCCCUGCUGAACGGUGUCAUCCUACUCUUUCCCACUCUAUUUCUCAGCUCCCACCCACUGCAUAUAAAUACAUACCGCCCUCCCUAGCAGCUUCUCUGCAGAUCCUUCAUCCCAGCUAGUACGAGGCCGCCUGCUCCUUGCCUUCAAUCCUUCCCUCACUCUUCCUCCAAGGAGAAGCAGCUUUAUGCUACCAGCAGCAGAAAGACUUGCGACAUCGCUUGCUCCAAGCACUGAAAAAGAGUGGGAAGAAAUUGCUUCGCUCAGCAGUUUCCAUUCCAGGAUGAACGCUCACAUGCACUGUGCAAGGUGCCUUGUGCCCAGAAGUUACUAUAAAUGAACUACAAAGGGCCAAAAGCAUUGCCUGCGGCAGCUGAAGACUCUGGAUGCCAACUUCUAACUUGCUUUGUACUGACUAAAGUGCACCCCACCCCCUCAGUAGCUUAUAAAUAUGUCCCAAGACAGUGGUUUUAGGGUAAUUUCCCUAUGGUUCAAACCAGAAAGGUGCCAGAUCUUAAACUAUUUUAAAGAAUUUUGCAUAUGCAGAAUGAUGCAUCUUCCUUUGUUUUAUCCUGAGAAACAACCGAACCAUUUUACUUAAUAUACUGGAUUACAGCAUUUUUAUUAUUUUUAUUUUUUUAAAUGUUCUCAGCUGUAGGAGGUGUGUUUUAUUUUUCUAAACUGUUAUACAACAGGAAAGAUAAGGUGACACGUCUCAGGUAUUUGAGGAUAACAUUUUUCCUUUGGUUAUUGAACUGUACAAGGACUCUACAAGAAUGAAAAAUCCAUUUAUGUAGAAUACUUCCCAUUACUGUAUCAAGGUAGCUUUAUAUCUCUUUCAGAUAGAAGAAAUUUUUUGUAGAAUGCUGCUUUUUGAGAUCCAAUUCUCUGAUACAGCUGCCUUUACGUUACUGUGUUAGUGCAGGAAUACUUACAGACUUGGUCAGCCAUACAGGCUGUACUUCUCCCCUUGUGCUUACCACUCUCUCUAUCGACCUUCAUUAUCAACAAUCUUUCAGCUGUAUGUGUUCACCUCCAGGCAGAUCCAUCUCCGCUCCCACCUCACUUUUCCAUCCUUCAGCAGGAUUCCUCUGUGGCUGCUGGACCUCUCAUGCACUCCUUGGAAGAGCAGACAGGCAUCGUACCCAGUUGCCUUCACCCGUGGGCACCGUACCGUGGAAAGUUUGCAAUAAAUUCUCAGUGAUCCCCAAGCUGUUUCAUAUUCAAGUCAAACCAAAACGUGCGUGCUUGUAAGUACACAGAAAAAAAAAACACCUCUAUCAGAGCAGGAUGAAGAUUUGCUGUUUUAGUGAUUCCAGUACUGCACGGUGUCUGGUUCACAGGAAUAUUGCUCCCCUGCCACCCACUUGCAACCCAGCCUCUGAACACAGCCUCCCGUCUGAAAGUCAGCGUGGGCUGUGCCUGCUCCGUGCCCAGACAGAGCUAGAGGAACGCCAGUUCCUGCUUCCACGCCGCGUUGGUUUCGCUAGGCAAAUAGGCACAAAGUCUAGCAAAGCUUGCACAGCAACAGCUCUGAAGGCUGCUAGGCAGUCCAGCCACUCAGACAGGGCUUUUAUGGUCAUUCUUCAAGCAAAAGUGCUGUUUAAAAAUGUUAAGAGGCCACAUGAUGAACGUAAUGUGGGAGCUGAGGCAAAGAAAAAAAUAAAAAUAAAAAAAUCUUAGCACUAUGUUAAACUCAUGCAGUACUUUCUAUCUGCAGUGUGAGAAGACAGAAAGUAGUGCAGCUAGAUCCAGUAAGACUGAUACCUGUGCAAGACAGAUAAGACAUUUAUUUCCAAUCAAAACAUUUUACAAACCUUUCGCAGAGGCAGCUAGCUUCCUGCACAAGCUAAAAGUAGAAAAAAAUGAAAUAAAAUAAGAGGAUUCAGGGAAGGCAUAAGAGCAAAACAUUCAAAGAUUUCUAGUUGUGUUUGUAAAGAACAUGUUUCACCAACUUUUUUUGAACUCUUUAGAAGAGCCCAAUGGAUUCCUGUUGUCUCUGUAUAGAUAUCUUCUUGGGCAAAAAGAAAAGAUAUUAAUAAAUGAACAGUAUGGCAAGAACCCAUCCACGUAAGCUCCCCUGGAACUGUUUUACAGAAUGAAUUGGUAUAUCAGAAGCACAAAAACAACAGUGUGUGCCAGCCCUCUAUACUAUCCAUAGAACCAGGAGCUUUUAAGAUGUGCCAGCCUCAGGCUUCGUGUUCCUUAUGGCAUGCAUGACAUGAAAGCAAGAGAGCAUCAAGCACCCAUCAUUACUGAGAACAGCGUAUUUUAGUGAUACUGGCAUGACCAAAAUGUAACUGCUGAUCAAUGCCAAUUAGCUAGAAUAAUCCUGUUAGCAUUAGCUCAACUGUUCAUUUAUCUCUGCAAUGCUAAUUGUGUUUGAAGUUCUUUCUAACGCUGACUCCUUUUGUA